GUAGGUGGCAAGCGUUGUCCGGAAUUAUUGGGCGUAAAGCGCGCGCAGGCGGUUCUUUAAGUCUGAUGUGAAAGCCCACGGGCUCAACCGUGGAGGGUCAUUGGAAACUGGAGAACUUGAGUACAGAAGAGGAAAGCGGGAUUCCACGUGUAGCGGUGAAAUGCGUAGAGAUGUGGAGGAACACCAGUGGCGAAGGCGGCUUUCUGGUCUGUAACUGACGCUGAGGCGCGAAAGCGUGGGGAGCAAACAGGAUUAGAUACCCUGGUAGUCCACGCCGUAAACGAUGAGUGCUAAGUGUUAGGGGGGUUUCCGCCCCCUUAGUGCUGCAGCUAACGCAUUAAGCACUCCGCCUGGGGAGUACGGCCGCAAGGCUG
rnacentral:rRNA from 1 species